rnacentral:rRNA from 1 species
UAAUACGAAGGUGGCAAGCGUUGUUCGGAUUUACUGGGCGUACAGGGAGCGUAGGCGGUUGGGUAAGCCCUCCGUGAAAUCUCCGGGCCUAACCCGGAAAGUGCGGAGGGGACUGCUCGGCUAGAGGAUGGGAGAGGAGCGCGGAAUUCCCGGUGUAGCGGUGAAAUGCGUAGAGAUCGGGAGGAAGGCCGGUGGCGAAGGCGGCGCUCUGGAACAUUUCUGACGCUGAGGCUCGAAAGCGUGGGGAGCAAACAGGAUUAGAUACCCUGGUAGUCCACGCCUUAAACGAUGAAUACUAAGUGUCGGCGGGUUACCGCCGGUGCCGCAGCUAACGCAUUAAGUAUUCCGCCUGGGAAGUACGGCCGCAAGGUUGAAACUUAAAUGAAUUGACGG